UCUCAGUGUCGCAGCAGACUUUUCAAAGUGAACCACGCGCUUAACCGAGGCUGGGUAAAAUCUCGAGUCAUCCCGCGCGCACAGCGCCCACCCUCGACGUCAUGGAGAAGUGCGCGUCAUUACGCGCGGCUCAGAUCCAACCCUUGUUGUUACUCUGAGAGAAACCUGCACCUACCGCACACACAAAGCAGGUGUCAUGCCAGGUGAAUCCUAGAGCGUCCAGGAACUUGUCCCCGGCCUCGAUGGGGAAGUCACAGCCGUGGCAACUGGACCCGAACAGUACGGCUGCCCGUCCUCCAUGUGAAAUGUGCUGCCCCUGAUUGGCUGUUGGCAGGCGACGCAGACGAAGCAAGACACGUGCCAGGUCUGUUUCAGGGCAUUCAUGACUUCCUGCAGAGAUAAUAGAAGAAAUAAAUGAGGAACAGCUUGUUUUUGAAGUUGUAAAACUCCAGGAUUUGAUUUCUUUGAAUGCCUUUAAAUCCAUUUUGAAAGACCUGGAGACAGAAUCAUUGGGGUGUCGGUGCUUAAACUGAUAUUUUGGAUGAAACUUUUUUUCUUGGGAUGUUAUAUAUUGUUUAUAGAAUAUGUACAUAUACAGUAUAUUGUAUACGUACAUAUUGUCUGUUCUUCUGUUUUGUGUCUGUUUACAAUCAUGUGUUUGUUCUUUUAACUUGUGCUGCUACCUUUCUUGACCAGGACUCCCUUGAAAAGGAGAUUUUUAAUCUCAACGGGAUCUAUCCUGUUUAAAUUAAGUUUAAAUAUAUAUAUUUUUUUUAAAGUUAAUAUUAUAGUACUGUAUAUAGUCCUCAUAUGAUCCAUCAAAUAACUUAAGGACAUUAAACAUUGUUUUUGUAAAUGAAACAAAGACUCCAAAGUUUUGACUUUGAAGAUAGGUGAAGACAUAUUUGUACAUUUUUUCUUAUAUUUUUUAUUUGUAUUAUUUAUUUAUUUUACUCUACAUAUACUGUGUUAUAUAUUGUAGCACUAUGUACAUCAUUUACAUUUUACAUAUUCCUUUAUUACUAUUUUUCCUAUAUUUCUUUAUGCUUAUAUAAAAGAGCAACUGUGAUGCCCAGGGCUCAAUAAAGUAUUUAUGGUUCUGAAUAUAUUGUUCUCUCAUAAUUAUCCUUUAGAUGACAACAGAUAAUGUACAUACAUUGGUUGUUUUAAUGGUUAAAUUCAAGUGUUAUC